rnacentral:rRNA from 1 species
GCAGUCGAGCGAACAGAUAAGGAGCUUGCUCCUUUGACGUUAGCGGCGGACGGGUGAGUAACACGUGGGUAACCUACCUAUAAGACUGGGAUAACUUCGGGAAACCGGAGCUAAUACCGGAUAACAUUUGGAACCGCAUGGUUCUAAAGUGAAAGAUGGUUUUGCUAUCACUUAUAGAUGGACCCGCGCCGUAUUAGCUAGUUGGUAAGGUAACGGCUUACCAAGGCGACGAUACGUAGCCGACCUGAGAGGGUGAUCGGCCACACUGGAACUGAGACACGGUCCAGACUCCUACGGGAGGCAGCAGUAGGGAAUCUUCCGCAAUGGGCGAAAGCCUGACGGAGCAACGCCGCGUGAGUGAUGAAGGGUUUCGGCUCGUAAAACUCUGUUAUUAGGGAAGAACAAACGUGUAAGUAACUGUGCACGUCUUGACGGUACCUAAUCAGAAAGCCACGGCUAACUACGUGCCAGCAGCCGCGGUAAUACGUAGGUGGCAAGCGUUAUCCGGAAUUAUUGGGCGUAAAGCGCGCGUAGGCGGUUUCUUAAGUCUGAUGUGAAAGCCCACGGCUCAACCGUGGAGGGUCAUUGGAAACUGGGAAACUUGAGUGCAGAAGAGGAAAGUGGAAUUCCAUGUGUAGCGGUGAAAUGCGCAGAGAUAUGGAGGAACACCAGUGGCGAAGGCGACUUUCUGGUCUGUAACUGACGCUGAUGUGCGAAAGCGUGGGGAUCAAACAGGAUUAGAUACCCUGGUAGUCCACGCCGUAAACGAUGAGUGCUAAGUGUUAGGGGGUUUCCGCCCCUUAGUGCUGCAGCUAACGCAUUAAGCACUCCGCCUGGGGAGUACGACCGCAAGGUUGAAACUCAAAGGAAUUGACGGGGACCCGCACAAGCGGUGGAGCAUGUGGUUUAAUUCGAAGCAACGCGAAGAACCUUACCAAAUCUUGACAUCCUUUGAAAACUCUAGAGAUAGAGCCUUCCCCUUCGGGGGACAAAGUGACAGGUGGUGCAUGGUUGUCGUCAGCUCGUGUCGUGAGAUGUUGGGUUAAGUCCCGCAACGAGCGCAACCCUUAAGCUUAGUUGCCAUCAUUAAGUUGGGCACUCUAGGUUGACUGCCGGUGACAAACCGGAGGAAGGUGGGGAUGACGUCAAAUCAUCAUGCCCCUUAUGAUUUGGGCUACACACGUGCUACAAUGGACAAUACAAAGGGCAGCUAAACCGCGAGGUCAUGCAAAUCCCAUAAAGUUGUUCUCAGUUCGGAUUGUAGUCUGCAACUCGACUACAUGAAGCUGGAAUCGCUAGUAAUCGUAGAUCAGCAUGCUACGGUGAAUACGUUCCCGGGUCUUGUACACACCGCCCGUCACACCACGAGAGUUUGUAACACCCGAAGCCGGUGGAGUAACCAUUUAUGGAGCUAGCCGUCGA